UCAGGUAGAGGUGCUGAGUUC
rnacentral:siRNA from 1 species